UACCAGCACCCCGAGUGGUCGGGACGUUUUAUUGGGCCUAAAGCAUCCGUAGCCGGUUCUACAAGUCUUCCGUUAAAUCCACCUGCUUAACAGAUGGGCUGCGGAAGAUACUAUAGAGCUAGGAGGCGGGAGAGGCAAGCGGUACUCGAUGGGUAGGGGUAAAAUCCGUUGAUCCAUUGAAGACCACCAGUGGCGAAGGCGGCUUGCCAGAACGCGCUCGACGGUGAGGGAUGAAAGCUGGGGGGAGCAAACCAGGG
rnacentral:rRNA from 1 species